GGAGAAGACAGUGGAAUAACACGUUGAACUUCUUCAAGUGUACUUGGGCUCAAGGAAUCAAGCAUGUUCAUAGUAAACGAGUGUUCAAAUACAACUAUCCACUUUUGAAGAAGAAAUAUCUACUAAAGAGUUGGUUCCAUGUGGGUGGAAAAGAAGAUGAUGAUUAUUAAUAUAUCAUUACAAUGGUGUUGAAUGAUCAAUCUACAAUGAUGGGAGAGAUGCAGGCUGCUGCAGAUGAAGAAGAAGGAGCCAGUAGGUCAGUGAGAGGUCUUUUUUUUAUUUUUUUAUUUUUUAAAAUUUUUAAAUGGAGGGAAUUUACUCUUAUUAGUUUAUAAUUCUAAUUCCAAAUGAUUUCUUCAACUUUAUUCCUUCUUCCUAGUUGCCCUACAUUGGUGGACCAGUUAUCCAUGUAAAAGAAUGUAGGAUUUGAAAGCUUUAUUAGAAGAUGGAAUAGUCUUAAAGGGAGAGCUGUAAAGCAAAAGCAGAGCAGCAGAUGAAAUCUGCUUUUGAUCUUCCUCUUAAAAAAAGAAGAGCCAUAGAAAAAUCUACUGCACCUCUUCCCCUCCUUCCCUUCUCUUCUUCUUGAAUAGAAAACAUUGUUUUUGUUUUUGUUUUUCUUCUUUUCUGUGAUCUACAAUUAUAAAUUGCAUUUUGGGAUCCAUGUUGUUGUACCUUUUCCCCCCUUUUAAUGCAGAGGUGUUUCCCCCCCUUAGUUUAUCAAAUUUCAUUGAUCAAUAAAGUUGAGUCACAUUUGUUUU